UACGUAGGGACCGAGCGUUGUCCGGAUUCAUUGGGCGUAAAGAGCUCGUAGGCGGCUGCUCAAGUCGAAUGUGAAAACUCGAUGCUCAACCUCGAGCCUGCAUUCGAUACUGGGCGGCUAGAGUCUGGUAGGGGGAUCUGGAAUUCCUGGUGUAGCGGUGGAAUGCGCAGAUAUCAGGAGGAACACCGGUGGCGAAGGCGGGUCUCUGGGCCGAUACUGACGCUGAGGAGCGAAAGCGUGGGGAGCGAACAGG
rnacentral:rRNA from 1 species